ACUCAGACAGUUUGAAUGUUGGCGGUGAUUUAGUUACCACCUGCGCCAUGUUGUGAGUGAUCGUAGGGGCAAGGGAGCCACUUGUUGUGCAGUGUUGGGACAACGUGAUUUUAAGUGUUGUGUGAUAUUUUUAAUAAGUAGUGUUUUUUAAAGCUUAUUUUUGUAAUUGUUUGUAUCAUGAACGAUCAGCAGGUGAACGGGGUGCUGACAAAAACAUGAAUCACUUCAUCAGAAGAUCUCCUUAACACAUUAAAUUAAAACCCUCCUCUCCUUAACAAAUACUUCUUUCUUUAUUUCUCUAGUUGUCAUGCUUUUAUUUAAAUAUAAUUUUGUACACAGUGGUAAAGUUUUGGAUUUACAACCACAUAUAUAACAUACAACAAAUGCUUCUAUAAAUAAGAGUAUUCUAAAUGGGAAUAAUGUUAGAACAUGAUAGCCUUUCUCUAUCAAAAUUGAUGCAUCUACUUCUCCCCACUUUUUUCCACCAGCACUAGAAAAUAUUGGAAUAAAAUCAAUGUUAUACUGUAAAUGAUAUUGGUUUGUUUAUAAUGAUCAAAGCAACUUUGCUCACCAGGGCAAGUUUGGUAUUUUAUUAAUAUUGUUUGCAGUUGAGAAGUAGAAAGUAAAUUUGUUACCCCUGUUUAGGAAAAAUUAAGCAACAUUUCUUCCCAGAACUUAAAGCAGGAUUGUUAACCAUAAAAAUAAUGUUAUAAAGCCAAACUGUUUGAGAAUUCUUAUGCAAGACAUGCAUUCACAUUACAUCAUAAUUAAAUUAUACAUCAUAAUACAAAUUUAUUAGUACUGAUACUAAUAUCAGUAUAAUAUAAUGAUAAUAUCAGUAUAGUAUAAAUAAUACUGAUAAUUCAUAUUUAUUUGUAAAUAUAUUUUUAUUUGUUAUAUGUUUACAGUAAUACUUACAUAUUAGUACAACUUCAAUUUAUCGUAAAGUUACCAGGAGAUAAUGUAACAGAAUAAAGGGUUUUAAUCAUCUCAAAACAAACCAUAGAAAAUUCAUACAGUUGAGCAAUACUGAAUAAUAAAAUAAGUUUUGACGAAACACAUGUGAUUUAAAAAUAUGAUAGUUUGUUUUAGUUAAUUAUUCACCACAAUUACCCCUACUUGAUAGGGAAUAGUCUUCUAGGUAUUUUGGAAAAUAUCUAUUUCUUGUUGUUCAUCUUAAAGGCAGGUAGUCAAGAAUUUUGAAUUUGUUUAGUUGGUUAAGGGGAAUCAAUGUUUUGUGGCGGAACGUAUGAAUUUUGGUUUAGAUGAAUGAGUAAGUGCUGCAAGAUGAUUACGAUCCAGUGGAGAGCCACUUGUCACAUCCAUCAUAGUUAUAUCCUGUUUUGAUAUUUGUGAUUCUUCAGAGAUGUGCGGUUGGUUCACUACCAAAACAGAUUGAUCUGUGAUAUAUUUCAAGAGUACAGCAGCAUCGUCUUCUUUUGGAGCUAGCUGUUCCAGAUAAACUGUCUUCUUAUUUCUGUUAUCGAGAUGUAUAGUUGCAUAAUCGGGAUUUACAUCUAUUAGUUCGAAUUGGUCUACGAGCAGAUCGUACUUACUUGUCUUACAUUUAUUUUUAAUAAAGCUUUUUCAGAUUCAAGUAGCCAGGUUAGUAAAGGCUGGCCAUUUGAAGAUUUUCUGGAAUGAAUAAACAUUUGUUCAUGCGGUGUCAAAUUUAUAGUAGUACAUAGUAAAGUCCUAAUAGAAUGUAAGAAAUCAUUUAAGACAUACUCCUAUUCAUUUAUUCUAAAACUAACAGUUACCUGUGACUUCGCGUGUAGUUUCGUAGGCUUGGCACGAGUAUGAGCAUUGCUGGUUCAAGUGAAUUCUAUUUCCAUCAUCAAUGUCGAGUUUGCCUUGUUAACACAAGAAAAUACAUCAAAAAGUGUAUAUUUAUAGCCAUUGUAUUUUACUUUGUUCUUAAUAGUUUUUGUUCCAUAGUUGAUUUUGCGUUUUUUCUCGAUCAAGAAAAUAUAUAUCACAGAUCAGAGAGACCUACUUCUUGCUCUGAAAAAAUUCUACAAUGAGGGAUAAUUUUUUCACUACUAAAUAAUUGUAUCUCACCACCAUGUUUGAGGUGACAAAAUGUGCGUACAACAGUUAUCACUCUCCUUAAAAUAAUUUCAACUUGAGAUCAUUUUCUUGAGUAAACAUCAACCAAACAUAUAUCUAAUUUGAAGAAUAUGUAAUAUGUCAGAUGUUGCAGAAUUUAAUUUCAUGCAUUAUGCAUAUAGGCUUUCAGACAUGGUAGGAUGUGGUACAUACACACUAAUAAUGGAAUAAAAUUAAAUCUAUUUAAAAUAACAAACCUUUAAGAAAUACACCAAUACAUUGACUGAAGUCAUAAUAAAUUCAACUCUACAUGUGAAGUAGGCUACAUUUUAGCAAAUUCAUCAAAUUGAAAUAUUUUUAAUUGUCCUGUCUUUAUUUUUUAUAUUGGACUUGAAACCAAAUCUCUCAAAGUUAAUGAGUAAUUAAAUCAGUGGUUUAAGAGCUAAAAUCACUGGAAAGCUUUGUAGGGUACAAAAUCAUAUACAUUGCUUUAUAUUUUCUAUUAAAAAUUAACUCAUGUUUUAUGUUAGCUCUUUUUAUGUUCAUAAAAAUAAAUGAUAUAAACAAUGGAUUUAGGAGUACGAUUAUAGACUUAUUUUAUUAUAUUCUAUUUGUUAUUUUUAUUUAAAAUUAUGUAACAUGGGUUGCUACCAUUAUUUCAAAUGCACCAUUCCCAUUUUAUAAAAAAACAUUCUAUUAAUAUCAUACACAGUUAUAAAUAUACAUCUAAAUAUUUCAGAAUUGCUGCUGUAUGAAAUUUCAACAUUGUACAAUUAUGGCCAAACAUCAUCUCAGCAUUGUUUAAUUAUAUUUAUUAUUGAUUUCUGUAUUGAUUCUGCAUUUUUUUAUUAUGAUCCCCAGAACCCUUUCACAGAGCAGUAUUUGCACAUAAAAUGGCUGUUAGCUAAUCUCAAUCGAUAAAAACUUGACCGCCAGUCAAAAACUAUUUCCUAUUAUUGACCCAAAAUGACACAUUUUUUCCAAUACUUAGCAAUUU